rnacentral:lncRNA from 1 species
AAAAUAACGAAAAAUAGACAAAGGCCCAAAUUCAUUUUAUCUAACAGGACUGCGGCUUCAUCCUUUUAAGCGACGCUUUCUAAAACUCUAGCUAGCGACUGGAAUCCUCGAGACUAAGGCAACGCUGGAUAUGCUAGAGUGCAGCCUCUGGGUAAAACGGCAGGAAAGCAUCAACGACAGAUGUAAAGAGGCAGCCGCCGGCAGAAAAGCAAGUAGUUGAAGAAACGAACCUUUCCGAAGAGCCUGAAAGCUUCUCGGAAGCUAGCCCAAAACGAUGUAAAGACUCCGGCGCAGUCGACAUCCAAGGUUCGAACCACAUGCGUUUCAGUUUCUCGUUCCUCUCUCCUUUUCUAGAGAAAACGCUGUCGUCAAAGCGACGGGUAUCAGUAGUCGCUAUGAAGGCCGUAUUACCACUACGGGCGGAACGGCUCGAAGUAUUCCCGGUCCGAAGUUCGUAUAUCGUAACUUUGGCGUCCGCAUCGCCAGCGGUGGAAACGGCAGUGGCAGCAUGGAAAAGAGAGCGCAUCUCUAUCUUCUCCAAUUUUUCAGAUGAACGGGUCCCAGUAGCUGGCUAAGGGAUGUCUCCCCCUUUCGCUCUGCUCGCUCGACGUGCCGCCAGUUGUCCAACCCAACGGUCUGUUUCCUGAGGACUUGAACCCUCCAAACGUUCGAGUCUGUCUUGACCCUGAAACCUUCCCUAUCCACGACUUGCGUCGUGUCUCUGGAAUGAAAGCUACCGUCCGUUCGGCCUAGAGCCUCGCUGCUCGCUGUUUUACGAUGCGUCCCGAGCAAGCAUAUCCGCACAGCUGAAAUCAGUAUGCUACGACUCUAAGCGAGAGUCCCGUAACGGCAAGUGUAGCCAUUACUGGAAAACUGGCGUUACGAUAUCAAAACCAAAAUCAUAUUUGGCAUUCUUGGAGUCUCAUUUAUGUUGACCUUUCUGCUACCCACAAACUGUUUACCGGCCGUCCUCCUUCAAAACAGCCAUUUAUCGGUCCUCAUCGACUUCAGAGCCGUUCGGGGCCAUGAAUUUCCUGCAGUUCCAAGGUGCUAUUCCUAAACGUCGCAAAUCAUUCUGCUCAAUCCACACAAGAAUUCUAAUCAAUCCUCUCGGUUAUGGAGUUCUUGCUGUAUACAAUACGAAUCUUCUGGGCUGCAUCAACAGCUGUUUGACUUCAGUAAAAGGAGAAACAGAGUAGAUUUUUUUAAGUACACAUCUUUCCCUU